rnacentral:rRNA from 1 species
CCUACGGGCGGCAGCAGUGAGGAAUAUUGGUCAAUGGACGAGAGUCUGAACCAGCCAAGUAGCGUGAAGGAUGACUGCCCUCUGGGUUGUAAACUUCUUUUAUAAAGGAAUAAAACGCGGCACGUGUGCCUUUUUGCAUGUCCUUUAUGAAUAAGGAUCGGCUAACUCCGUGCCAGCAGCCGCGGUAAUACGGAGGGUCCGAGCGUUAUCCGGAUUUAUUGGGUUUAAAGGGAGAGUAGAUGGGUUGUUAAGUCAGUUGUGAAAGUUUGCGGCUCAACCGUAAAAUUGCAAUUGAUACUGGCAGUCUGGAGUGCAGUUGAGGUAGGCGGAAUUCGUGGUGUAGCGGUGAAAUGCUUAGAUAUCACGAAGAACACCGAUGGCGAAGGCAGCUUACUAAACUGUGACUGACAUUGAUGCUCGAAAGUGUGGGUAUCAAACAGGAUUAGAUACCCCUGUAGUC